UACGUAGGGGGCAAGCGUUGUCCGGAAUCAUUGGGCGUAAAGGGCGCGUAGGCGGCCAUGCGUGUCUUCCGUGAAAUCCCUCGGCUUAACCGAGGACGUGCGGAAGAAACUGCAAGGCUCGAGUCCGGAAGAGGGGGGCGGAAUUCCCAGUGUAGCGGUGAAAUGCGUAGAUAUUGGGAGGAACACCAGUGGCGAAGGCGGUCCCCUGGGCCGGAACUGACGCUGAGGCGCGAAAGCGUGGGUAGCAAACGGG
rnacentral:rRNA from 1 species